rnacentral:tRNA from 1 species
GCCGUAAUCUCAAGAGGUAUCAAAAAUCCCUUUCAGCGGUUUCGUAAACCGCAGGUCAGCAGUUCGAAUCUGCUCGCUGGCU